rnacentral:rRNA from 1 species
GCGGAGGAAAAGAAACCAACAGGGAUUGCCCUAGUAACGGCGAGUGAAGCGGCAACAGCUCAAAUUUGAAAUCUGGCUCCCUUUGGGGGUCCGAGUUGUAAUUUGCAGAGGAUGCUUUGGCAUUGGCAGCGGUCUAAGUUCCUUGGAACAGGACAUCACAGAGGGUGAGAAUCCCGUACGUGGUCGCUUGCCUUUGCCGUGUAAAGCUCCUUCGACGAGUCGAGUUGUUUGGGAAUGCAGCUCUAAAUGGGAGGUAAAUUUCUUCUAAAGCUAAAUACUGGCCAGAGACCGAUAGCGCACAAGUAGAGUGAUCGAAAGAUGAAAAGUACUUUGGAAAGAGAGUCAAAAAGCACGUGAAAUUGUUGAAAGGGAAGCGCUUGCAGCCAGACUUGCCCGCAGUUGCUCACCUAGGCUUUCGCCUGGGGCACUCUUCUGCGGGCAGGCCAGCAUCAGUUUGGGCGGUUGGAUAAAGGCCUCUGUCACGUAUCUUCCUUCGGGAUGACCUUAUAGGGGAGGCGUAAUGCAACCAGCCCGGACUGAGGUCCGCGCAUCUGCUAGGAUGCUGGCGUAAUGGCUGUAAGCGGCCCGUCUUGAAACACGGACCAAGGAGUCUAACAUCUAUGCGAGUGUUUGGGUGUCAAGCCCGAGCGCGUAAUGAAAGUGAACGGAGGUGGGAACCUUUUAGGUGCACCAUCGACCGAUCCUGAUGUCUUCGGAUGGAUUUGAGUAAGAGCAUAGCUGUUGGGACCCGAAAGAUGGUAAACUAUGCUUGAAUAGGGUGAAGCCAGAGGAAACUCCGGUGGAGGCUCGCAGCGGUUCUGACGUGCAAAUCGAUCGUCAAAUUUGGGCAUAGGGGCGAAAGACUAAUCGAACCAUCUAGUAGCUGGUUCCUGCCGAAGU